CCCUAGCCCUGAUAGAACGGAAAUCCUGUUAGUGUGAGCUUGCCGCGCAAGCUCACACUAACAGAUUGGAGAGAAAGCAGGAAAACGG
rnacentral:sRNA from 1 species